UAGGCUCAUUCGCAGAUGAGGAAACUGAGGAAUUAAACAAACGUCUCGGCAGAGAUUCCAGCACUUGGCCCCAGCACUAACUCCAAAUGACACCCUUACCCCCACGGCCACAAUGGGAGACCCGUGGCCGCAGCACGUGUACAUGUGUGCACGCAUGCACAUGCGCACACCCCACCCCGUAGGAGGAGCUGUGGGGCCGUGUUUUCAUCGUGGAAAGUCGUGGAGGGGCUCUGGCUGGCAGAGAGGUUUUAUGCUAGUUCUGCCUCCUGCUUGUUCUCCUCAAAGACCAAGCUGUUUCCAGACAGGCUUGGCCCCUGAGUGAGGCAGGUCUGGGAGCCCCAGGAAGACUUCACUCCGGUCCCCUAACGGGAGCCUCAGGGACCCCCAGGGGUUAAGGGGGCUGGCUCCCCCACGGCCCUCCUCGUAGACCCCUGCCCCAGGGGAGUCAGAGCCACAGUGAAAGAGCUCUUCACAACAGGAGAGGGCUGCUCUGCUCGGUGCUGAGAGCGCUGCUCACCCGAGCCACCCAGGGAGGAUGCAGAGAAGGGCCUCGAGGCUCCCCUAGGCGACCUGCCUCAGGGACAUUCUUAACCCCAGCCAAAGAGGGGGCACCCUUCAUAGCCUCCACCUCUGCAUUGGGGCCUCACAGCUGUUCCCAGCUAGAGGCUCUUACUGCCCCACCACCACCCACCAGUCAGCCCCCAGGGGACAUGGAGGCAGCUUUGAUGAAGCCUAUCAAAGGGUUCUUGUUCUUCCAGCAGUUUCCUGGGAGGGCAAGUGGAGCCACAAUAACCCCCACAUCUGUUCAAGGGGCUGAGGGCUGGGACUCCAGCCUCAGCUCUUCAGGAGGGCUCCUGCCCAUCAGCAGGGGGGAAAUGACUGACCACUCCAGCUGGAAGGCGGCACCCAUCCCCAUUUCACAGAUAGCAUAAAUGAGGCACCCCCUGCUCCCAAAGGGCUCCCCACACAAGGCCCACUUCCCCAGGAACUCUCUAGGCAGGCGCUGGCUCCUCUUCCUCUGGGUCAGGUUGCCUCCACUUACACAAGACACCACUGGCCCACAAAGGGGUGUGGGAGGCAUGUGGGGGGAAGUUGGUGUCUGGUCUGAGACGCCUGCACUGCCUCUUUCCCCUGCAUGAGCCACUACCUCUAUUUUGGCCAUUAUUUUAAUCCUUAAUCUGUGGAUUUGUUUAAAUCAAAGUUUCUCAACCAUGACAGUCUUGACAUUGGGGGCUGGAUAUUUCUUCGUUGUGGGGGCUGUCCUGGGCCCUGGAACAUGUUCAGCAGCAUCUCUCAUGUCUACUAGAUGCCAGCGAUGCCACCUCCCUCCUGUGACAACCAAAAUUAUCUCCAGCCAAAUGCUCCCUGGGGGCAAAACUGUGUCCAGCUGAGAAGCACUGAGGUAAAGGGAUCAUGUAUGGAUGGUGCAGGUAUUCCCUCCUGAGGCCUGGAGCUGCUGUCAAGGAGAUAGGACAAUAAAUGUACCCAGGACCCAGCAGUGUGUGCCAGGAGAUCCUGGAAAAGACUGAAUUUGGGCAAAUCAUUGAGGCUGGGAUCCACCCAGGAAGACUUCCUGGAAGAGGAGGAUUGCUAUCUGGUCCUUUUAUAAACUUUCCAGGAAGGAUGCAGUUUGGAAGGAAAGUUUCAAAGACAGUGAGCAGAGCUCAGGGUUGGGAGGUGAGUGGAGACUUUCCAGGGAGGGGGCAGGAGGGUGCUCACAGCUGGCUGGAUUUUAAUCUGGGGUGUUAAGGCUGCCUUCCUCCAGAGCAAGUCCUGGAGCCAGGAGCCAGAAAGAUACUGGGGAUGAGUGGGAAGGAAGACAGUGGGGUGGGGGUGGGGGGAGCUCCUGGGGGUGGCAGAGAGGGUUCUUAGGGGUGGUUGUUCCCUGAAUCCCCAGCACCCAGCACAGAAUCAGGCUGAGGAAAUGCUGAGAUGAUGAAGCUGUGGCUCAUGGGAGACAAGUCCUGACAAGGAGAAGGUGGGCCUGGGCUCUGGAGGGCUGAGAGGACCAUCGCCACGUGGCGAGGGUGCUGUUGAGGGGGCCCAGCCUGAUUUCUCAGCAUCUGCCCACACCUCAUGUCUCCCCCAUGGUCCCUGCAGAGCAGAGGUGGGGGGAGUGGGAGGUGGCCCUAAUCAAGGGGUAGCUGCUAGGCUUGGAGCACACCACCCAGCUUCCUGCCAGGCUACAGAUCUUUCUCUCUGGAAGAGAUUUCAGCAGGUUCACGAGAGGAAAAUGCUGGACCCCUUAGCCUAGGAAGCCCCCUUCUCAGAUAGAAACCCUGGCUCCCACCCCUAAUCUGGGCUUCCGGAGCCAUGGGUGCACAUUUACCUCAGACUCAGCUCCCUAAGGGCAGAGGCAACACCUUCCCAGUGGUCACUGAAGGGAAAGAAGCUUGGGGCUGGUGCUGCCCACAGGGAGCUUCUGGGUGACCUGCCAGCAGGGGGCACUGUGGACUCAGGCACAGGACUUGGGCCGCUAGAAGGGUGGAGACUGGACGGGCCUCCCUCACUUCUUGUUUAUCGCCUUAUAGCCUUCACCCCAGCCAGGCUUGCCUGCCUUGGACCUGGCAAGGUCUCCACCUCCCAUCCUGACCCCAUUUUCGCCUCUCCUCUGGACGAAGGAGAAGGAAUUUUUAUGCCCAUUAUGCAGAUGAGGAGACUGAAUCAUACAGAUGCAAAAAAGACCAGAAGGGACAGCCACGUGGCAGAAAGGAUAGAGUCUUGGCUUUGGAGCCAGAACGCCUGGGUUUGCCAGCACGCUGGUUCAGCACCUCACUCCCUGUGUGGUUGGGGGCACACUUUGGGGCCUUAUUGAGCAAACCACUGCAGUGGCCAUAAGGGAGAUGAGCGUGGCAGCCCACACUACUCGCAAGCUGAAAACAGUUCUGACACUGGCUGUCACAGCCCCAUGUGACAGCACUGGGUCCUGGGAGACAAGGAAGCCUAGCCCAUGCCCCUAUCUAGGUGGCGAGAGCAGGCAGCCAGAAAGGGGAUGCACUGAGAGCCCUGAAUAAGGGCAGAGGGGGCGAAGGGGCCGCGUUACUUGUGCCAGAGAGUCUCAGGAGCGGAAGGGCUGAGGUGUCAGCUGCGCUGACUUAUCUGCACUUUCUCCCAGGUCUUAGUAAUUAAUAACAAGAGUGGAAACCAUGAGAGCUAUUUGCUACCCUCUCAUGCUGUGCCAGGCUCUGUGCCAAGCACUUGACUGGCUCAAUUACCCAUCCUGGGAAGUAGGUAGUGAUACUACCCCAUUUGAUAGACAAGAACACGAAUGCUCAGAGAGAAAGUAACUCGUCUGAGGUCCCCUAGCAGGGAAGGGGCAAAACUGGAUCCCACGCUUUUGGUGGGCUGGGGGACCGGGUAGAGAGAGGAUGAAGGCUGAGGUUAUGUCUUGGGGACGCACCACAGGGCAGUUCAAACUCAGCAUAGAAUGGACAGAGUGGAGCGGGGCGCUGAGGAAGGAGUGACCCACCUAAGACAUCCAGUCGGAGGCCUGCCUCCUGGAGGAGGGGGACGCUCUGCAGGCUGACGGGAAGGGAAGGGCUGUCCCAGCAGCCUGAGUGGACGUAAGGAAGCCAUUCUAGCCUGGCCGUCUCCAGCAGGCCCGCGGGCUGUUCCCGUCCUGCAGUGCUGCGACAUGAGGGCAGAGAGGCAGGCGGGAGCCACCUGGAGGGGCGGGUGCCAUCACAUCAGCUGUUUGGAGGACGGCCCAGGAGAUCCAGUUGGUUCUCCUGGCCUUUCUUAAGAGAUGAGGCUCUCAACUAUUACAAAAACUGGGGGGCAGGAGGCAUGGGGAAGAGGGGAUGAAGACUCAAGAUACCAGUGUUAGAAUCCGCCAGAUGAGAUGGCUCAUCAGAUGAGGUGGACAGAAGGCUGUGGUCAAGGAUGACUCAGCCUCUGGCUUCAGGGGUGGGGAGUCUUACCACAAACUAAGAUCUUAGCACCCAAGAGAAGGAAGGGACUCGUGAGAGAAAGAUAGCAGGUUCCGUCUGGGAUAAAGGCGUUUGAGGAUGCGCCAGGCUGCAGGCUGCAGUGCCGAGAAGGAAAGGAUGGAGGCGGUGGUGAUGUCAACCAGGGAAUUAAGUGAGCAGAAGCGCUGAUAACAUCUCCCAGCAAGGCCCGCUGUGGGCAAGGUGACUCAUCGAAGCCGGGCCCCACCACCACAGGCUGAUUGUUGUUGUGCCCAGCCUGUGGGGCUGGGGAGGGGGGGAGGCCGAGACCGGUCGCUCAGCCAGCCCUCUGCUCAGUGGAGACGUCUCGGAACACAGUGUCCUCCGCCUCCAGAGCUGCCUCAGGAAACAGCCCUCCCUCCCGCUGUCUCGAUUAUCUUCGUCCACCGCGUUCGGUGUUUGUGGGGUGUGUCAAGGUGGUUUCCCCACCCGCGUCCCGCUGGGCACUCCAGGCACCAGAGAUUGCUAACAGCAUAACAGUUGCUCCCCCUGGUUGGACCACUGUCUGUGGUGACAACGCCACCGGAUGGCAAACUGCUAACCACGACCACGUGGCGUCCUCGUGGAAGGUACAGCCUGUUCCUCCAGCUGCAGGCACCUGCAGAGCUGCCUCUGCUCAUCCCCGCCGAGGGGCCCAAGACUGUCGGGUUCUUCCCCAUCCCCUGGGGCGCCAGGUACUGCUGUAUGAGUUGAGAACUGUACAACUGGCGGGGGCGGGGACCACUCACUUUAUGGUCUGUGUACCAGACCACAUGGCUGUACGUGGCCUCUUCCCUUUUCUAAAUUAUUGCUCAUUCCCCUCCUCCACCUAGAAGGAUCUAUUUAGCUUGCCAUUAAGAAGUUUGUCUUCACACCAAA